CAGUAGCCGCGGUAAUACAGAGGGUGCGAGCGUUAAUCGGAUUUACUGGGCGUAAAGCGUGCGUAGGCGGCUAAUUGAGUCGGAUGUGAAAUCCCCGAGCUUAACUUGGGAAUUGCAUUCGAUACUGGUUAGCUAGAGUGUGGGAGAGGAUGGUAGAAUUCCAGGUGUAGCGGUGAAAUGCGUAGAGAUCUGAAGGAAUACCGAUGGCGAAGGCAGCCAUCUGGCCUAACACUGACGCUGAGGAGCGAAAGCAUGGGGAGCGAACAGGAUUAGAUACCCCUGUAGUCCCUGUCUCUUAUAC
rnacentral:rRNA from 1 species